UACGGGGGGGGCAAGCGUUGUUCGGAAUUACUGGGCGUAAAGGGCUCGUAGGUGGCCAACUAAGUCGGACGUGAAAUCCCUCGGCUUAACCGGGGAACUGCGUCCGAUACUGGUUGGCUUGAGUUUGGGAGAGGGAUGCGGAAUUCCAGGUGUAGCGGUGAAAUGCGCAGAUAUCAGGAGGAACACCGGUGGCGAAGGCGGAUCUCUGGGCCUUACCUGACGCUCAGGCGCGAAAGCUAGGGGAGCAAACGGG
rnacentral:rRNA from 1 species